AGCACGCUCUCUUUCGAGAACCAGAGCUAACGAAGCCGACUGGAUUUUGGAGAAAAGGUUUUGAUGCAUUAAGGACUAGAAGAAAGAGUAUCUCUGGAUUUCUAGCUUCAUGAGAUACUAUUCGUCCCUAUUUUACUAGAGAUUAAAAUUUUUUUAUUUGAUUAAGAAUUAAUGCACAUGUGCUCCAAAUAAACUAAGGAUAAUAAAAAAUUUCUUUCACGCAGUA